rnacentral:rRNA from 1 species
UACGGAGGUCCCAAGCGUUGUUCGGAUUCACUGGGCGUAAAGGGUGCGUAGGCGGUCGGGUAAGUCUGACGUGAAAUCUUCAAGCUCAACUUGGAAACUGCGUCCGAUACUAUUCGGCUAGAGGAAUGGAGGGGAGACUGGAAUACUUGGUGUAGCAGUGAAAUGCGUAGAUAUCAAGUGGAACACCAGUGGCGAAGGCGAGUCUCUGGACAUUUCCUGACGCUGAGGCACGAAAGCCAGGGGAGCAAACGGG